UAUAAAUGACGAUGAGAUAGAAAACAAUACAUAUAUCGAUUACUGUGAUCCGAACGAAGAUCUACACAUCGACAAAGAUACGAAUAUUGAUGAGUAGAUCUUUAUUCUUCGUUCAAUUUUGUAUUGCAAUAAUGGUAUGCGAUAUAAUUGUAUUCAUUAGAAUAUUAUUUGAUUAUUAUUAUUAUUAUUAUAUAAUAUUAUAUUUAUUUACAUUUCAAUUCUUGCAGAUAUGGCACCAGGAGAUAGACGAUGACGGUUGCGUUCACA
rnacentral:lncRNA from 1 species